ensembl:lncRNA
AAGUGAAAGAACACUAAACACAUGCAAAAGAAUCAUGGAGCGAUCUGUGAGCAACAAGCUCUGCUGAAUUAUUGCCUGCAGUUAAUUGAAGAUACUAACCCUUGUGAAGAACAUAAUGUACAUAUGCAGUGUUCUAAACAAAUUUCAACAAAAUUAUCAGUUGACACACAUUAGUUGCACUUCUCUGGCACUGACCUUAAACAACAAAGCUACCGUUUAAAGAUGUUAAUGCAAGAGGAGAAACAUCUGAACACCAGUUGCAGUAUUCCUCAUCUGCUGCCCGAGUACAUUCAGGAGCAAUUCAACCCUCCGUUCAACUUUGACGACCCCUCUCUGCACUACAUCACCCACGUCAGCCCGCGUAUCCUUGACAACCUCACACCUCAACAGAAGCGCCGGUACCGAUAACACAGGCCCUGUGCGGUUCAUGCAGCAUCAGUGCAGAUGUAUAUAUCUGUACAUUUGUGUGAUCUCAAUAUGAUAUUAUUUAUAUUAAAAAGAGACUGCUGACUUUUAGUCAUGUGUGAAAGUGAAAGAGCACCAGACAUGCAAAAGAAACAUGGCGCGAUCUGUGAGCAACAAGUUCUGCUGAAUUAUUGCCGCAGUUAUUUGAAGAUACUAACUCUUGUGAAGAAAAUAAUGUGCAUAUGUAUGCAUUACAGUAAUAAAAAUAGUGGUAAAAUAUGCUUUAAUGUUAUGAAAUAAUGUCAAAUACCACAAAAAAAAACACCUUAGUUUGGGGGUGAAAUAUGGCAUUCUUCAAGGAAUUUGAAAUAAUGGUCAAUAAGAUCUUACACAUAAGUGAAAUGUUUCUCUGGUCAGAAUUAUCCUCUUGAAAGCAAAGCAGCUGAAUGUAUGUACAGUAUGUUGUCUAUAAGCAAACAUAUGGCACCAUCAAACCCACUCAAACACUUUUUCUUAAAAUACUUAGCAAUGGUUAUGAUAUUUCUAUACCCACUACGUUUUUCCUCAAAUAAAAUAAAAUAAAAAUCAUCAAUGCCAUGGGAUCAGUUUGAAUUCAAAUCAAAUGCAUUUAUUCAUCUUUUAUAUUUAAGGUCUCUGAGACCCCAAACAAAAGUCAUAUGUUUCCUUGCAGGUUGUUUGAAGUGAGUUAUUGAGUUAUCUACUUGGUUCUUCAAUUUCAAGUAUGAUAUUUGAGCCUUUAAUAAAUCCUUGGGGUCUCUGAGUCCCCCAAAACAACAUGAUCUUCUCACUUUCAUGAGAGCAGAAAUAUCCUUUUACAUGUAAAUAUGUCAUUGUAUUGUAUAACUUGAGAGGUGUAACCUGGGUGGACGACUGUCACUUAGCUAUGUUCCAGCUUUGCAGGUUACCUGGAAACAACUGGCUUCUAUACACAACCCUUUUUUCCAUUCAGAUAAGACUUGUUGACAUCCAUUCUCUCUUAUUCCAUUUGUAGUGACAUUGUUUAAUGGCAUGAAGUAAUGUCAGCUGGGGAUCAAAAUUGAUGCCUAGUUGAAUCUGCAUUUGCCACACAGAAGCAGUAAACUCUUAAAAGAAAGAGCUAUUGGCUGCCCUUAUGGUCCUGCCAUUGGACUCUGCACUUUGCAUGUGUUUAUCUCCCAGCCAUAAAACAAUAAAGUUUAGGAUGUGAACUAAGCUCUUUCAUGCUCCGGUCUUAUCUCCCCUUUACGUCAUUUCUGCAAGCCCUUGACUUGCUUUUUGC